GGCUGGUCUGAGUGCAGUGGUGUUUACAAUGAAUUGAUCACAGCCAGCUACAGAUUUCUUUGCUCCUUCUCCACUCCCACUGUUUCACUUGAUUAGCCUAAG
ensembl:misc_RNA Y_RNA Y RNA